CCUCUGUGCCGAGAUUCAGGAAGAACUUUCAGCUGACAACAAUACAUACAACGGUUCCUUCAAUAGUCCCCAGAAUACCAGUGAGGAGCUCUGCUAUGGAGAGUUUACAAAGAAUUUCACCUCCACCCUGAAGGAUCUUGUUACUAAAUACAAUAAAAAAGACCAUCACAUAGAAAAG